UACCACGAUAACUUCAGUAAUUCUAAACGGAUUUCCAAAAACUUUUUUUAUCGACGAGGAAUUGAAUUCUUCAGGUUAAGUUCCAAGAUGGACUAUAACAGACGGGUGAUAUUAGAGAUAUUCUCAAAAGAAUUUUUGUCUUGUCGCUUAAUUCCACGAUAACUCGAGUAGUUUCGACAGAUUUC